rnacentral:rRNA from 1 species
UACGUAGGGGGCAAGCGUUGUCCGGAAUCAUUGGGCGUAAAGAGCGUGUAGGCGGCCAGAAAAGUCCGCUGUGAAAACUCGAGGCUCAACUUCGAGCUGUCGGUGGAAACUUUCUGGCUAGAGUCCGGAAGAGGAGAAUGGAAUUCCCGGUGUAGAGGUGAAAUUCGUAGAUAUCGGGAGGAACACCGGUGGCGAAGGCGGCGAUCUGGGUCGAUACUGACGCUGAGGUGCGAAAGCGUGGGGAGCAAACAGG